GAUGAGUGAUUGCUUCAUGACUGCUUUUUUUUUUUUUUUUUUAAAGGAAAAGUCUCACGUUGGUUGAGCUGGGCUGAAACGGUCUGGGCAGAAGUUGUUUUGGCAACUUUACCUGAAUUUAUGUAUGGUUCAUAAAAGUUUGGUCAAUCAUUACAUGGCUAGAAAUUUGUGUUUGUGGGGUGGAGGGUUGUUAUAAAACUAGGGUGGUGAUAUCUGAGGACCUUUUCAGUUAGUGUCUCAAAACACUAUUAUUAGAGUUGCCAUGGAAUUAAACACCUUUUGCAUUCUUAUUCUUGUAACUGGUAUUAUAUACCUAAAUAAUCAUUUUGGGAAAGUAGAGGGUAAGUCUAAUGUAAGUAUAUUUAACAUUAAUUUGAUCUGCAUGGAAAAUGGAGAGAGUAAUAAAAUGACCACAGAACUCAACAGAGAAGAAACCAUUGCUUUUGUAACCUGGUGUCUACCUCUUGGUUUCCUCUCCAGGAAUACUUGCUGAAGCUGAAACUCUAUCCUGUAGUUAGUGUAGGCGCACAGGGAGUCCUCUUCCUGCCUGGGUAGUGUCAUCUGUAGCAUUAAUGCCAAUAGUGUGCUUGGCCUUCAUGAGAAAAAAAAAAAAAAUCACUGAAUAUUUUUCUCAAGUGGAAAACACCUUGAUCCAAAGCCCACUCAUUGUUCAUUGGAGAUGGUCCCCACUUCAGCUCUGAGCACAGCUGUUCCUUAAGGUAUUUCUUCUGUUCAGUUUCACACAGAGACAAGCCUUUUACUCCGCUUUGCUGUUAACAGCCUUGUCAGAUCAUUCAUUUCUUCACUGGUAAAUCUCAAGCAUUGUUCCCCCUGUAUAAUCUUUUUCCCAGAGAAUGAGAAAGGCGUGGAAAGAUGUGUUUCAGAUGGGUGGACUCAACUGCGGUGGUUAUGUGUCAAGUAAAACUGACUGUGGGCAUCAUGGUGUAUUUCUGGAAGAGAUCCUGUUCCUAUUGUGUCUUCUUUAAUGUUGGCUUAUUUUAGCACAAAUGAAUGAGGUACCGGGAGUGAAGAAGCAGAAUGCAAGGGUAAAUGGAAUUGGGAAUAUUUUAUAAAUGUCGAAGAACUCACUAAGGAUACUUGAAGGGAAGAGCUUUCCUCUUCCCAUCCCAACCCAAAAGGGAUACUUGUUUUAUAAACAUUAUACUGUACUUUAGAAAUAAUAUUCAAAUGAUAUGUUUUACUUGACAGUUCAAAAGCAAAAGUUAGGUUUUUUUCUAGAUGAAUCAAAAAAACUUGACUCUGAAAGUUUUUUGUAUAUAUGUAAUAUAUAUACGAUUUUGUCAUUUUAUAUAUAUAUAUAUAAUUAUAUAUAAUUUUGUCAACCAUUGUGUUUCUUGCAUAGUUUCACUUAGCUGAGGGGAGGUAUAUACAUAAUUGUUUUUUCCUACCAAACUACAUAUUUUUAAUUUGACUUUUGAUUUUUUACGUUAGAUACACUUCCUAAUAUGUAGUCUAAUUCAAAAGGAAAAAUGAUAUAAUUUCUCCUGGCAUACAAAAGAUUACAGACUUAUAAAAAUAUCUGAGUCAGGUCAGAAAAGAUCAUUUAAAAGGGGUACCUUGUCAAGAUUAGGGACCAAAAGAUUUUGUAAAAAUAGCUUCUAAACAAAAAUUGCAUUUGAUAUUUUCAUUUGGAUAUAGUAUACGGAAAAGCAAGUCUUUCCUUAAAAAUGAUUUUCUCUUUGUAGGAUCUAAACUAUUUUAUAACGCUUUCGUUCUCACGUAAUGUGGUAACAACUGAGAUUUUUAACAGCUUUUUCUUUUUUUUUUUUUUAAUACAUAGAAAGAGUAACAUGAAAUAUUUUAGCAGAGUUUAAGAAAGAGACCCACGGUAAUGGGCAUUAAAGUAUUAGAGCAGGCCUGAAUAUAAAUGAGAAAUUAGGAGCAAUUGAAAGGUUGUAAAGAUAAUAUGGGGGGUUGGGUGGGGAGUUGAGGUACUAAAUAUUAGAUUUUCUACAAAUGUUACUCUUGCAUUCUCAUUUAAGUAUGAUUCCUAUGAAAUGAGGAUUCCACAGCUCCUGCUAGUUGCAUGUCAAAUUGUUAUGGAAAGUAGUUGUAAGGACAGACUUAUUUGUUGGAACCUGUGGGGCUUUAAUUUCUUUUGCCUGAGGGUGUGUUUAUUUGAAAAGUGUUUGCAGGGACAAAUUAUAUGAAGGUGAGAAAGGAUAGUACUUUUCUCUUCUUACUGUAAUUGAAUUCUUUCGCCUUUUUUUCCUUUUUACUCCCUCACCUUACUUAACCUGUUUUUCAUGUUUGACUGUAUUUUAUUGAGAAGGUGACAUGCAGGUCUCUUUUGCGGAGGGAGUGUUAUGGGGACAGUGGGCACGCCCCCGAGAUGAGCGUGGGAUAAACCUACCUUUAUGCCCCUCUCACCAGCUUCCCUCUUUGUAUUUAAAAGAACGUUGUCUUUAAAUUCUGCCCACAAGUAGCAUCUGUGUGAGGAUUUCCCCCUUAUGACAGAACCCACUUUUUGCUUUUCUUGCAUGUUCCUGGAAAGAAGGCUGUGAUGUCUCACGUUUUGGGGAAAAGAGAGUCAAAAACCCAUUUGAAGAUCUGAUCCCCAGCUCCUCUCAGGAGAAUGUACCUUCCACCCAUCCAGUUUGCAUACAGUUUUCUUAUGAAGCCCUGGCCUAGUUUGGAUUGAAUUUGUAUAUUGGAUAAUCUUGUAUUUCUUGGAGUUUAAAUCAUUCAGUAAAUAUGAACUGAGCCUCUAUCUUGUGCUAGAAAGCAGGGAUGAGAGAUGAAGUCGGACCCGAGAGAGACGGCGUGCCCUCUGAUGCCCUUUCCGGUUCUUCUCCCACCUUGGGCCUCUGCUUGGACAGCUCUUCCUCAGCCGUCCUCUUAGCUGACCCACUCUCCACUCUUUGCGUAAAGCUUUCUUCUCAAGGAGGCUGGCUCUGCUCAUCUCGUUUCACAUACAAUCUGCCCUUCUGCUUUUGCAAAGCAUUUAUCAUCUAACCUACUCUAGAAUUUACUUACCGCAUUGUUCGUUUAUUAUCUGUUCACUCUGGUAGAUUGUUAAGCCCUGUGAGGGCAGGGGUCUUGGAUGUCUCUCCAUUAUCCCAAUUACCUAGAACAGCAUCGUAGGUGAUUAGCAAGUGGACAGAUGCUUGCUGUGGAAGCGCAUCAUCCAGCUGUUUCACAUCCCAUGUGACUCUGGAAGUGAGCCACGUGCUUGGUAUGUCUUGUGCAGGCACACGGCUGAAACAGCCCAUUCUGUUUUUAAACAUCACGGUUUAUUGUUAGUCACAUCAUUCACAUCUGAGGAAUCUUGACCUGGCCUUGACCAUUGCAUGCUGUGUCUCCAAAGCUGUUAUUUUUUACCCCAUUUCCUAGGACGGGUAGUUUUGCGGGUGGGAAAGCAUGUUGAGCUGAGAGUGUACUCUGUCAGCCACUUAAGCAAAGUUAAUAGAGCACAUGUCAAGAUCAGCAAGUGUCCUCGGGCACAGAUUUUAUGCUGUCCCUCCCCCUCUUUUAUCUCCUCUUUGCAUGGAAGCUAAAAUCACAGAUAUCAGCAUCACAUUUCAUUUUCCCACAGCCCAGUAAAGCCCCGUUUUACCUUCUUUGGAGAGAACCUCUUCCCCGUCUGGUGCAGGUGAACGGUGUGAUGGGGGUGCACAAUGGGUGGUACAUGCUCCUUAGGGGAGCUCUUGAAAGACCAUCUUCCUGCUCUUUCUGCAUUCAGCGGUGCUUCCAUAUUUCCCCUGACACAAGGAAAUGAGCUGAUGGAAGUGGGGAUUUAGGGAUAAGAGAAUCAAACUGUAUUCCUUUCAUAAGUAAGCUGUCCAGUGGGGCUAUUUCUUGAGACAGUAUUUUGAGAGCCUUUGAUUAAAGUCACACUAAUCCAGAAUAUUUAGACUAGUGAGAUUCCAUGACCACAUCAGUUUGUAUAGGAUGUUGAAAUCUGCUAGCUUGAGAGAGCACUUAGGAAUCUGAGUUCAUCCCCACUUCCAUCCCCCAUCUGCACACCCCUCCCCCAGCUCCCACUCUGGACUCUGACAGUAGGUCCCAGCUGGUCCUACAUAUAAAACAUAAAGCACACAUUUGGUGUGGGCUGUUUUAAACUUUGAUCAAAAUUCCUUCUAAACAGAAGAAGAGAAAAGCCUGCAGCUUGUGUUUGCUUUCAUGGUCUCCCCAGCCACGUGAUUUUUCCAUUUUUCACACUCAGCAUUUGAGUGUCCCUCCAUGUUGUCGCCCCCUGUCUAGAAAGCAAGGCUGUAAUACAUCACAUAGAUUGACUACACUGUACAGAGGUCGCAGAGGAUGGUGACCCGAUCCCAAAUUAUACACCUUUGCUGAGCCCCCUGGUCGGAACGUACUGCUGUUACUCACAGAAAUAGUCCCUGUGAAAGUAGUUUGCUUUGCUUCACGAAUUCCUGCCUUUAUGAAUUCUGUUUUAGUUCAGAAGCUGCCUUGUCAUAACUUUCCUCACCUUUUCUCCUGCUUAAGUGAGACUUUGCUGUGAAGCGGGAGGACUGUGGUUAACCGCCCCCAGUGAUGGGGUGAGACCUCUGGCUUUGGUGCUGACUCCCUGUUUUUCAUUGAUCACUGUGUUUUGGGAAGCAAGCAGGCCUGGUUGCAGGAUAUUUGAAGAUCAGGGCCUUGGAGUCCUGUCUUUAAUUUCUGACCCACCAGAAAAAUUAAUCAGAACAGUAGAGAUUUUUACCCAGAUGUAAACGUAUACCUGUUUUUUGUUUGUUUGUUUGGGGAUUUGUUUGUUUGUUUGUUUUUCUUUUUGGCCACACAGCAAGGCUUUCAGGGUCUUAGUUCCCCGACCAGGGAUUGAACCCGGGCCCCGGCAGUGAAAGAGCUGAGUCCUAACCACUGGACCGCCAGGAAAUUCCCGACAUGUAAGUGUUUGCCCUUCGUGUUUUAGUAGGAAGUGACAUCUGAAAGAUGUCAUCAAUAUAAUUGAUUAAAGAGCAGGCCUGAAAAAAACAAAUGUGGUGAUCAUUUUUGAUAAAAUCAGAUGAGCCUAACCAGUUCUCUUAUGACAGACUGUAUCACUCAGGCAUUUAGUUACAUAUGAUAACAGUUCUCCCUCUCAGGAGCACCAGCGUUUCUAUUCUUCUUACUAAAUUCUUGAUUUUUAAGACGUUUUCCCUGUUAAUUUUAAAUUUAAUUCUUUUGUUUCCCCAGAAAUGUGAAGGAGAAAGUAACCCUAAUAAACAAUUUCCAUAUCCACAGUUAUUUGAAAAGGAAAUUGAGAAGAAGAGAAAGUGUUCUCGCCUUUGCUGCUUUUUAGCAGAAAGGUUCUGCCCCGAGCUGGCCCAGCCAUGUUAGAAAUUAACAGGGCUCCCAGAGGUGGGAUGGGCAGGAAGGUCCCCUUGUCUCCCAGAGAGGAGAGGACUCCUCCCUCCCUCCUCCAGUCUGUUAUUAGACAGGAAGGAUUUGAUUCUCGCUUUCCUGGAGCUGCGGUGACAGCUAAGUUCAGGGUUACAGAUAAGACAUUAUUUGAGGAAAAGCUUUUCUGCCAGGCUACCAUGGCAUGUGUCAUUUAGAAUCACAGCUGUAGUAUGCAAAUUAUAUAUAUUUUUUUACUUAAGUGAGAUAUAUGUUCAGAGGCUUUCAUCAAGGCUGCUGGCUCUAGAGAUUUCACUCUGUGUUCUUUUUUCCAAAAUGGGUAAAGGGUCCAAUGUCCAUGUCUGUAUAACCAAAUAAAGCCCUCACACUUCUGAUUCGAGCAGGAGCUGUGUAAGUGGAGUGAUCCUAUUUUGUUUACUAGCAACCAAGGUAAUGUUGAUGUUCUAAUACAGUUUUCUUUGUCAUAAAAGUAGAAUUCUGUAUGUUAAAAGUGUUUCUAUUUUUAACUUUUUAGCUUAGUUGUCAACAGAUCCUUUGAUAACUUUGAAGUCGGUCUUCCCUUGUUUGUAGGUGAAUGCAUCUUUGUCUAAAACAGGCAAAAUUCUGAUUAACAAACACUUCUCCACUAACUCAGAGUUUGAGAAAAUAAAUGUUCAAAAUUCUGAAAUCCAACAACAAAUGGCACCUUAUAUGCUAAGUAGCUUCCAAAAAGGGGAGAAUCUGGUACCUCUGGCAAAUAAGAAUACCAAGUAUUAGAUGCCAUUUACAUAUCCAUGUUUUUCUCAGUAAAAGAAAGCAGAUGUUAGCAGUACAGCUGGCUGUUGCAUAUUUGUGUCUUUGUUGCUAACAAAUUUCCAUGAGGAAGGACGUAAAAUUGGUUUGAAGGCUAAAAUAGGAGAAAAUAACUUGGUAUUUUAACUAGAAAUGAGAAGGAUAAUUGCAUGAUGGAUUAUAUCUUAAUUUUUGAGGUCUUGAUUGAGUUUAUAGCAUUCAGUAUCAAAACAGUGUUUUCAGUUUCAAUAAAAUAAUCUAAAUAGAGAAGGUCAAAGCGAAUUAGAAAUUGACUGUAUUUUAAUUACUUGGGUACAGUUUCCCUAAAAUAUCGAGUUUAAUGAAAUGUUGUCAGAAUACUUUAUAAACGCAUCAUUCCUACUUACUGGUUGAUGUAAAAGACCGUGAUAUUUUGCUUCUGCUACAAUAAUUCCAUACACUGUACAUUUAAAAAAUGUUCUGAUGAAAUAUAACUUUGCAAUUAAAAACAAAACAAACAAGCAGCAGAUCUUUCUGUUUAAUUUUGCAUGGAGAACUUUGUCCUAGUGGCUUUAUGCCACCUAAAGUAUGGCUGUCGUUUUCAGGAAUACCUUCUCUGUUCUGUUUCUUGCUUGGGGGUGUUUGUAUUCAUCUAUUUAUCUCUUCUCAGUUGGUAGCUUGUAUUGUGCAAUGCUUAUAGAUUCUCCUGUCCUAUCAUAAUUUGAUGCGUAUUGAAGUUCCCACUGUGAGUUUAUUAACACUGUAUUGUAGAAGACUAUUUGUAAUUUGAUGAUCAAAUCUGAUAUCCAAGAUGGUAAAGAUGUAGCCAUAAGUGAAACAUAAAUCCCUGUGGUAUAUUAUUUGAAUCAGAAAUUCCACUCUGCUUUGCUUUCUGUAAAUUCCAUAACCCUUCUAAUCCCAGUGUUCUCUACUUUUAAAACAAGAAGUAGACGCUAUGUCUUCUGAAUUCUGGCUGUAUUUUUAUUUUAACCUCUUACUGACACUUGAUCAGUAAAAGUUUCUCCAUUCCUACUCAUAAGAAUUGUUGGAGAAACAAAACGCAGAAAGUGUAAGUUCUCACUAGUACUGUUUCCCCGGUAGUGCAACCCAGAAGCUAGAAGGGAAAAUAAUGAAGGAACUCAGAGAAAUAAGCAAAGAUGGUUGGGCAGAUGUGCUCACAUGACCUCACUGUAAGAUCUGAUUGGAGGUUGGUCCUUGGGAUGAUAUAGGAUUGUUGCUAAUGAAAGCGCCAAAUUGGUACCAAGUUUUUGCAAAUCUACAUACUGUAUGAUUUUAAGAUCUGUUUCACCAAGUGUGAGAAUUAUGCUCUAACUCUGUUGGUGGGCACUCAGCAGUUGCUGACAUCAAAAUUGAUUUGAGAUUCUUCCUGUUUUACACAUUGCAGUUUAUCAGCGAAUUCAAAGACAUUGAUGGAAUGCCUCUCUUGGACUGUGUCUGUGUGGCAUAGCUACAUUUGUUGACAUGGUAUGUGCUCAGAGUUCCUAGGGAUUUUUCUAGUGGGUUUUUCGUUAAAUUUUCCAAGGCAGAUAGAAGGUGAUGUUUUUAACAUUUGCCUAUUCAGGUUAUAAAGAUUUGUUUAUUCAGACCUCUUCAAAUUUAUGUGAUAGCAGUGUUAAAAUAUGUACGCAAGAGAUAACACAUUAGCAUAGGCAUUAUGUGAGUCUUCAUUGUAAAGCCAGAGGGACUGUUGGGUGGUCAGUGUUAUAUUCCAAAUUUUACCCUAAGGAGCAAAACUGCCAUAGUGCCUUCAUACUGCACGAGGUACCACCGUCACAGCGAGAGACAGUCAGCGUUGGUUCCAACUUGCUACUGGGUUUUGGAAAAUGCAAUCUUCAAAAUGACUUGAGGUUGUUCAUAAGAUAAUCUAUUGUGAAUCCGCAUUAAACCUGUUUAUUUUUUAACCUGUUUAAAAAUUUUCUAAUGUUUAAGAAUGUUGCUUCUUUAUCAGUAAAUAGUUCACUUGAAAUAUCUUUCUAUUCCUGUUCUUAACUAUAGAAACGUAGUUGAAUAUUUAUAUCGUUAUUAAUUUAUAAUUUCCGAGUAUUUUACAACAUUGCUUACUUAGGUCUUACCAUGUUUUUUCAGGGAGCAAAAAGUAAAUUUUCCAUUUUCAAAGGAGACAGGUGCAAAGAAGUUUGAGCAAGAUGUGACUUUAUUGCUAAAUAAUCGUGAUUAUCUACAAAGUACCAAGGAACGAGAUGUAAUGAAUUUGGUUAGAACAUAUCAAAGUAUAUAUUAGAGUCAUUGUCCCAUGUUUCCCCAUGGGUCUAUUUAAAUAUUGAAAAUGGCUUUUUCCAAAUAUACCCUAAAAAUUUGCUGACUUACUAUUUGCCAAGCAUUCUGCUUAGCAUUUUAAAGACAUUUUUCAUUUGAUCCCUACAGCCACCCUGCAAAUAUGGCAUUAGAACCAUUUUCCAGAUUAAGGAACUAAAGCUCAAAUGAUUGUGUAAAUAUUUAAAAAGGAGGGGGCUCCCUAGGAGGAGCAUUCAGAGGGUUCAGGAACACUCCAGAAGGCAGUCGUGUGGGUCUUGUUCAGCAGUCCUUUGUGAAGUUAUCAGUAACUGAAGGAACCGGCUCUUUUCUGCUUUUUGGGUGGUCUCUAAUUAUGUCUGUUUUAUCUGUUAAGUUUCAUUGGCUGUUACAUUCGUACCAUCACACAAAUUAUCUUGUUUUACCUACAGCUUAUAGCAUUUUCUUACGUCUGCUAAAUAUAUGAAAGAGUUGAGUUACAAAGAGACUGAUAAGGCCAUGAACCUGAGACAAAGUUUGGGGUUAUAUGUGUGUAUGUGCAGUUUUUCUCAAAUACACCUUGAUCAGAUACUCAAAAGUUAUGUACCAUUGAUAAGUGAUUUUCCUUCCAUUUCUGUUAUUUUUGAAGAAGUUAAAUGUCUUGCUUCAAAUGUUUCCCUGAGCUUCACAUUUUCCUACUUCUGAUUCAUAAUUAAAUCAUUUUGGUUAAAAUUGAGCAGGUUAUUACUUGCUUCUUAAAAGCCAAAAGCUGAGGAUAUCCAGCAUAAAAAUUAUGUGUUUUGGCAUGUGGACAGCAGCUGCUUAAAGUCCCUAAGUGUAAGAAAUCUGAAGUGGACUCACAUGAAUCUGAAGUCUUGUACCUGAGUUCUGUCAAAAUGAGCAGUAAACGCCAUUUUUAAAGUUUGGCUAAAUGACUAAAUUCCUUUGAAUGUCAAACUUUAUUUCUCAGGAAAGUUAGUCACUGCCAAGUUUAUAACAUAAACAUCAUGUUUCUGUUACCUGAAUUCCAAGGACAAGAGGGUAGAUGAGGGCAAGUGAAAGGCACAGGUGAAUUUAAUCCUAGGUGUUUAACUUAAAAGGACACUGUGACAUUGCACAGAGAGAGUCUCUCCAAGGACACGAGUGCCCGUAAAAAUUCUUGGUUGCUUUUAUUGUUUUAUUUUUUUCCCCCCCAGUUAAAAAAGAAACUUAUUUAAAAGUUUCCUGAUUUAAAAAGGUCUUUGCCUGGUAGCCCUGACACACUUCUCACUAGAGUCUCUAAGAAGGUAGAGAAAAGUCCUUAUAUUCUAAACAGUUAUAAAAACUAGAACUAGCAGGAGAAGUGUCUACUGUAAACCAAAUGGAACUGGGUUUAAAAACACAGGCAGAAUAAGUUUUGACCACCUAAAAAUAGGUAGGCAGAGACAUGUCCUCCCCAACUCUGCCUGUAAUUCAGAAAGAGCCUAGCAGCUGUCCCCAGAAUGCUCUUCCUUUCCUCUUUCUAAUCUCCCCAACAGUGCCUUUUUAUUCAGUGGAAGGUCAUAACUCAGAAAAUAACCAGGCAGAGCUGGGAGGGUGGGGUAGGGGCAUUAUUAAUACUGUUACCUCUUGAGAAUCUUACUCCACAAAAGUAAAGUGUUGGAGGUGGGGUAGAGUUAGACCCGUGUUUCCUGAGGGUUUCAGUAUUGUUUGAGUCCUCCAUCCUUCAGAGCCUCAGAAAGCCUGGCAGUAAAGGUAGGAGAAGGUUUGCUUUCAGCAAAACUGUAUUGAAAUGAAAAUCACAUUGGAAAUUGGCCUGGGAACUGUUCAUCUCAACCUGCCUACCAACUCUUGGUCUGAAGCCAGCACCCACGUGGAUCAAGAGUAGCUCAGAGCAGGGCUUCCCUGGUGGCGCAGUGGUUGAGAGUCCGCCUGCCGAUGCAGACGACGCGGGUUCGUGCCCUGGUCCGGGAGGAUCCCACAUGCCGCGGAGCGGCUGGGCCCGUGAGCCAUGGCCGCUGAGCCUGCGCGUCUGGAGCCUGUGCUCCGCAAUGGGAGAGGCCAUAACAGUGAGAGGCCCGCGUACAGCAAAAAAAAAAAAAAAAAAAAAAAAAGAGUAGCUCAGAGCAAACACCAGGUCCGGGCAGAUAUCUCCCUGUAUGGUGAUCAAUAAACGGGGGAAAAAAAAAUAGCGGAGCCUACUGAAGAACAUUGCUCUGUAAAGGAAAGGAGAGAUUGUAUCAAAGAUUUGAAGGAAGAAUAGACCUCCAGCACUGGCCCAAAUGAAAGAGGGUCAGAAAGUAGAUGAUUAUGAGCUGAAAAGAACUGGAUGGGAUGAAAUGGGAGUGAAACCAUUUAAAAAAAAAAAAUUGUAAAGAAAUUAAGAAUGCAGUAUAGCACAUUAAAAUCCAUAGGAGAGGCAAUAGAGAGUAGAAUUAACACAGCUGAAAAUAAAAUUAAUGUUGUAGAGAAGAAACUCAGAGCUCUUCCAGAAUCGAAAGAGAAAAGAGAUGAAAAUGAAAGAGAAGAUUGUAGAUGCAUAGUAAGAAGGUAUAACAUGGGGCUUUUCAGUGUUGAUAAAUGAGUAAUAAGUCAUAUCAAAUGAAAAAGAGCAAACAUUAUAAAAAUAAGCAUGCAUGCAUUUUGUGCAGAUUUGGAAGCGUGGUCCACAUUGUUUAGAUGAAAUCAAUGACAGGCCACCUCUAGAUAUGUUUUGGCAAUUUUUUUUUUAAUUAUAAGAAUGCUGUUAAACGUCUUUCCAAAAUAUCUGGUUAACUAUCAAGGAGCAGAAUUCAGGCUUCCUUGUCUUUUGUAGCAGUAAAUGCCAAAAGAUGGUGGAUGCAGAGUUUUGAGGAAGAAAGAAGGUGACUCAAGACCUUAAUGUGUUGCUUCCUUAUAUAUCAUGUGGAAGGAAUUGAGAGGCGUUCUCUGAUAAGCAAGAGCUCAGUGAGAUAUAUUCAACUUCUCAUGUCACAAGGGCGAACUUCAAAAUUGCCAUUUCAUUGUUAAGCUUUAUAAUUAGAAAGGCAUAGUUUAAAAAUGAAUUCAUUUUGAUUAACUUAAAGAAUAAUUGCCAGAAGAAUAAAACUGUAAGUUAUAUAUUUUCCAAAUACCUAGAAAUACAAGGCGUAUUCCAAAAAACAGACAACAAAGCAUAAAAUUAUUAUUGACGUGGGGAAUGUCAAUACUAUUACUAUGAAAAUUUACAGAAAUACAUGUAUUAACAUAUAUCUACAUACAUAAAUAUAAAGCUGAAUUUAUACCUACCUAUAUUUGUGCGUUCAACAAAUACUAGUUUUGUGUCAGAUGCUAUGCUAACAUUUUGCUACAUUAACUUGUUACUUUUCAUUAGAACUGUAUGACAUUGGCCUUACUAUUAUUAUACCUGUUGUAAAGAUAAAGAGAUUAAAGCUUAAUUAGAUGAUGGCCCAUGGUCACACAGCUCAGGCAGGAGUUGGGGUUUGACUUCCAACCAUGGAAGCCCUGACCCAGAAUUCUUAAGCAGCAGUGUGAUACAGUGGAAGGGCCCUUGGGUGGUCAUGUUCGUGCUGUGCGACACUACUGUAUUUCUGGCCACAGUCUGUUAGCCAGGAGGGCAAGUCAUCCCCUGGCUUGCCAGUGACCUGUGAAGCAGACUGAUAUGCAAAAAAAUGAGUUAAACAACCAGAUUUUCUCACUCUCAGGCGAUAGACCCAAGAAAAUCUAAAGAGAACUAAACAGAUGCGUGAGUUACUCUUGCUUCCAGCAAAAGAACCUCAUCAGAACAGGCUGGGAAGAGGUGAUUAGUUUUAAGGGACAGUUCCUUCCCUCGGCAGGUUGGAAGCUAUGGGGCUUAUUAAGUGGUUAAAAUAUUAACCUUCGAGUUAGCCCUCACUUGGCUAGUGCUUUCAUAUAUAUAUGAAAACAUGACUUUAUAACUUGGUAAGACAUUAAUAUAAAAUCAUUUAUAUAAGUUAUAUAAAUGAUUAUAUAUUAAAUACAUUAUUAUAUAAAGUUAUAUAAUUUAUAUAAAUAUGUUUAUGUAUAAUAACAUUUAUAUAGAUAAUGUUUAUGUAAACAUCUAUCUGCUAGUACAGUGUAUAAGGCAAUAUAGAAAAGUCAUCAUUGAGUUAAUGGUGGAAAUGUAAUUGAUUUGCUACUUCACUAAAGGAGACUUGAAAGGAUUGAAAGCUAGCUCUAACUUGCUCCUUUACUAGCCAUCAUUGUUUGUAGUUACAUGCACAGUUACAUGGUAACUGUCAUUUGUGGUCUAAUCUUCCCCUGAAGGGAAACUUGAGAAACCUGGUUGGCUUUAACAUUUAGAGGAAGUUUAAACAUAUUGGAACAUAAAAUUUACAGUUGUUUAGGUUAAAACUCUGUUUCUUGUCAGACCACAUCUAUCCAGCUCUUCUGUGAUUGGAAUCAUCUAACUUUGGCCUGAAUUAAGGAAGAGUUUCACAAGAUGCACAAAAUAUUUACUCUUGUUUUCUUUACCAGCUUCCUGAGCCUGUGCAGCGGACUGAGACCUCUUCUUAUCUAAAGGCAGUGUGGUCACAUAAGCCAAUUGUCACCAGUUAACUAUUUUCAUCCCCUGAACUGCUUUUGGUGAAUUCCAACCUAGUUAUUACAUCCCUUUAAUAUUUUCAGUAAUUUAUAUUCUUUAACUAUAAGAGUGAAAAUAUUUGUGAGUUUAUUUUGCAGGGGGUGGGGGGUGAUUAGUUAUAGUCUAGCUGUGAGGCUAGUUGCCUUUCAUAUACUCUAGAAGAGAAGGAUGGGGUCAGUUUCACAAUGAUCUUUGUCCAAAAUACAAGACCACUGUCACUCCCACCUCUCAGGCAACCCCUGCUCCAUCUAUUUUCUAGAACAAUUUAAAAUAUAGCCAACGCUUUUGCUUCAGCGUCUCUUGAUUCACUGGAUCUCUAAGGGACCAUCUUUUGCCAGUGUCAGAUGCUGUUUUUUUCGCAUUUUGAAAUAUUCUAAAUUUUAUAUCCUAGCAAAUAUAGUAGUCUUCAGAUUAUGUUGUCUCACAUUCAUGUAUAAUUUCCUAAGAAAAGGAAAUGGAGAGGGUGGGGGUUAAUAGUUAGAGUAAUUAAACCUUUUUAAAAUGAAGGGGAAAAAAAUCUUUUGUUUAUAGGAGGUGAAGAGACCAUUACUGAUUGAUGUUAGCCUUUUCCCAGAAAUCCGUCUCACGGAGUUGAUAUUGAGUGUUUUAGGCAAAGGUGGUGUAGGCUCUGAUGAACUUUGUUACCUUAUUCUGGACCUUUUAUCUAUGGGCAUGUAACUGAAUGAUUACAUGAAUUUUUGAUUGCUAUAAAAAGGUUGUAUUUGCAGUUUUUAAAAUAUAACUGUUUUUAGUUCAUUGCAUCUGAACGCUGCCUUUUUCUUUUCUUAAAUACGUGUCAGAUGAAAUGUUUUACCUCUGAGAUGAAAAUUUUGAAGUUUAUUCUUUAUUGAUAUGUUUGCCGGCACGCAUGAGCAUUUGCUCUGUGCUUUACCUCCAUUAUCUAAUUUAGUGCUAUUUAUAGGUUGAGGCUUAGAAAAAGCAACCUGCCCAGGGGCAAAUACUAGUAGAUGGUGGACAGCUGAGACUUGCAUGCAGACUCUCUGACUUGAGGACGUGUGCUUGCCAGCACCACACUGUACCACCCUCAAAGUGAAAUGCGGGAGGACGGAACCUCUAGUUAGGAUUAACUUCUCCAGAGGUCAUGUCAUAUUAAAGCUACCACAGGUUCUGAAAGCAAUUAAAUAAAUAUUAGGAAAUAGUGGCCUAUAAAUUGUAGGCUUUUUAAAUACAGUCUCACAUCUUUGUAACUUUUGCCCCAUAAUUCAGUUACCCUCAAACUAAUUGAAAAAUCUUAGAGAUAUUAAAAAUGCUUGAUUGACCAAUAUUUUGUUUCUGUUAAGAUCAUGUGCUUGAGCCAUAUGUCAAACCAGAGACUUAUAUUAGACAAUUUGUAUGAAAUCAUCAACCUCUCUAACAGUUUUCUUGCAAUAAAGAGGGAAGAAUAUGUCAUGUAUGAGUUAAAACAGUGACCUCAUACCAUUCAUGCAAAAGUGUUGUGCUAGCGGAGCAGUAUCAGCGUUUGAACCUAGAGUUGGACUCCUCGACAGCAGGGCCAGUCCAGAAGAAUGUGUGUGUUUUAAUGGAUCAUUUAAAUGAAAGUUUAAUCUUUACUCAGAGAAGAGAGCAGCUCUGACUGAGAGCAUUUGAAGCUAGAACAUGGAUCAGGGGUCUGAACGUUUCCAUUUGGCCUCUGGUUGAGCCUUGCUCAGGGAACACAGCAGUCAAACUUCAGUUCAUGUCAGUCAUGGUGUAGGAAGCCAAAGGAAAAGUCCUCAGUUCUAGUGGUUUUCUUAAGUCAUCAGGAUGGAUUUAAUGAUUUUAUUUGAAUAAUUACUUCCAGUGAACCAUAGCUGGGGACUCAGAAAGAGAGGUCUUCCAAUGGUAGACAGGCCCUCAGAUGCUUUCCCAGUGUCCACUACUGCAAUAUGGCUUAGCCCUAAGGCAGAAAAACCCUCUUAGAAGUGAGGGUAUGCUCUGUAGCUGUGAUGGGGGAAAAUUCACUCCCAUGAAAUGGGAGGUAUGCUGGGUUGACCAGAUAGCCCAAAGCUGAGCCAUGGCCAAGGAUUUCUCAAAUUCAUAAGGCCUCUUUCUUGAGCUUGUCUUCUUUCAGACUUAACCCUCAGUUUCUGGGUAAGUUGCAAUACAUCUGUAGGGAAAGCCCCUGGUUUGGGUUUAGUCAAGCUCGCCAGAGAAAACUGGAUCUAAGCGGGAAUAAAAUUUACUGACCCCUGUUCUCAGAGGUUAACAUUUUCAUUUAUGUUUUACAUGACUCAUUUUAAAUUACAGUGCUCUACAGAUAUAGAAAGAAGCCUUCCUCUUCCCACCCUCCUCCAGACACCACAUAAUGGAAAAAGCAAGAAUUUUCUGCAUGAGCAAGGCUUUUUUUUUUUUUUUUUUUUAAACAAAAAGCCAGUCUCUGAUGGGACUUUUUUUCCUGCCAGAAUUCCCACUGGUCCACUGUCGCAAUAUUUACAAAAGGCCACGAUGAAAGAGGAAGGCCCAUUUGAGCCCUUUGCCUCUGUGUUAUGUGAAACGUAACUUUUAUUUCUGUUCUUGGUAUCAGAAGAAUUGUUAUUUUUGAACUUCUCUGAUAGGCUUGUAAACCUACUAGGUCCUUUUAACUCAUAAAGUAUAAUUUUGAUUAAGAAAAGAUUUGUCCCUCUGCUCUAACUAGACACAUAAAACUUUGAAAGGUUUUGAUGUUCUGUUUCCUGUUUUUUUUUUUAAAAAAUGUAUCCUCUCUUAUGAACUCCAACUAGAUGAGAGGAUUUUCCUUAGAGAAAAUUCAGCUCUGGGAACACCAUCCACGAAGGUCGUAACCUAGAACAUUUUUGAAGGGAAGUUUCAGUGAAUUAAAAGAGGGCGGGGUUAGGAAGCAGAAAGUUCUGUUCUACCAUAGCUGUAGCUAAAUAAAUCAUUUCACUCUGGAGCCUGGGCAGUUCUGUAAUUUAUAGCUAAUUGUCCACAGAGAUCACUGAUUACAGUUCAUCAUGGAGGAGAGAGGUGGUCUGGGGCCCCAUUAGGAAUUCAUAUUAAUAGUUGUACCUUUUCUUCUUCCCCAGAAUGUUCACUGGAGAACAUUCUGUUAACCACUGAUCCUCAGUGAUCUUUUAUUUCUACAUAAAAACCUUUUAAAAUGGAAAUAGGUCGACUUGAUUUUUUCUUUAGUCAGGUAGAAGAUAAAUGAAUCAGCUCAAAGCACAAUUAAAAAGUGUGUAUUUGCUUGGGUGCAGGACUGAGGGAUGGAAAAUUCUGUUCUUUUAUUCAGUGGGACUCUACAACCAACUGUGGUAAACACAUGUAUCCCAUUGUGCAGCCUUUCUUUUGCUUUAGGGGCAGUUUGAUCUACUGACCAAAAAGAAGCGACAUUAAGACUAGCUCCCAGCCCAGGGCUUUAGCAAGUGCUCAGUUAAUUUCGGUGGCUCAGGGAGAGAAGCACGUUAGUUUGGGGAUCCAGAUUCUAAACAGUCUGCCAUUGAACAACCUCAUAGACCGGUGACAAGAGACUGUUUAAUUGAAGCUUCGUAAAAUGGUUCCUUAAACUUCAUGGACAAUUGAGUAACUUCAGUUUCCUCUCUUUACUCUUGUUUACUUCCUGCUCUUCUAGAAGGUAUUCUGAUCUCUUACAAUGAGAAGAUUAAACAGCUGUAGCUUAACUUCAAGCAUUGAUUUGGAGAGUUCUGUGGCUGCAUUCAUUAUAUCUUUACUAAGAUUGCAUUCCUGUGGAUUGGGCAGAAGCGUAUAAGCAGCAGUGUGGCUUAUCCAGGGCAAACCCAGAUCCUGUUAACCACUGAGCCUUGAUGGUCUUUUAUUUCUACAUAAAAACCUGUAACACUGGAAUAAUUCGCCUAGAUUUUUUUUUCUUCUAGUUAGGUAGAAAAACAAAAGAAUCGGCACGGAACACAGUUGUGAGGAGUGUUUGUAUGGGUGCAGGACUGAGGGAGGAAAAUUCUGUUCUUCAGGCAAUGGGACUCAGCAGGAAGCAUGUGUUGAAAGUUUCUCACCUAAACGGGUCAUAAUUACAGACUUUAGGAUUUAUUUUUUUGAAUUAGAACGUGAAGCUCACUCAGCGGUCCUUAUGAAAACUUCCCUUCUAACUGCAUAUUUUAUGUCAAAUCAUAAGUUAAAUUUCUGUGGUACAAAGAAGAGUUUUUUGCUGUAACCGUAUUGUAGCCCAUGCUGAAUAUAUCAAUGCUACUUUUCACUGGGUAGUUGAGUGGUCGGAUCCAUUGUUAAUUUUAAGUUUUCUUUCUUGUUUUCUAAGAAUAGUCUUAAGACUGUAUGUUUUAGAAAAAUGCGCUUGUUCAGAACUUCUCAGAUCUAACCUGGCAAUCAGUGGGACUAGAGGUAAGAAAUAAUAGCUUUAACUGAACAUCAUCUAAAAUGCUGUAAUAUUCCAUUGCAUGACACAUCCCAUGUGUCUUACAAUUUCUAAGAAUUCAAGGUAGUGUGCAGUUUUAUUAACCACCCUGCAUCCCUGUAGCACAAGGAAUUAUUUUUGUUAUUGAGCGGACAAAACAGGGGUGAAGUGACUCACAGUUAAUUGCCAGAUUAAAUCAGGCAUCCAAGUCACUCUGCUUCGGGUAGAUUCUCAGAGACUCAGCUGCUGUCUUCAAAAGGAAGAAAUACAUCGCAGUAUCCGGAAAGAACAUAGCGUGCAAUAUGUGACGGGUCUUGUUAACUAUCUCUUGUUUUCUGAUCAAAGUAGCCUCUGGGUUGGAGGAAAAUUUUGUACUACUGUAGUGCAAAUCCUUAUUAUAUUUCAUCAUUAUUUAUUGCGUUGUAAAUGAAUGUAUUUAACAGUGCUAGUUUAGGAAUUCUUGGUAAGUUUAGGAAUGCUAAUCAUUUUUCUUUUUUUUUAAAUUUUAAGAUGGUUGAAUUUUGCAUAUGCUAAGUGUUGGCCUUUGUGGGUGUGUGUAAGAUGCACAGGAGAAUGAGUUAGUGAUGUCACAGGAGCACCAAAGCAACCAUCACACUUUUGUUCAGUGUCCUUUUUCAUUGUUCUUGCUUACGUGGAGCCCUUGUGCACAGGCUGGGCAUCUCGGGGCUUUGAACAAUGCCCUUGGCCAACCGUUAGUCCUAAUUGCUGUGACUAAUUUGCUGUGUGACCUAAAGACAGUAACAUACUUAACUUUGGUUUUAUCAUCUGUAAAACAGAAUUAAUGACACUCUACCAAGCCAAGGCUUUCAGUGAGGCAUCAUCAUCACAAGCAAGCCCCUAAAAUACUAAUUAGAGUAUUAAAAAGGAAAUCUUCUCAGUGAAAACCAAACACUCAUUGAUGCCAGUCAAAAACCUAAAAAACACAUUUGCCACACACACAUACAAAAUUGUUUCUUAGACUUAAGUGAUAUGUUUAGACCUGAAGGAAAUGAAAGGAAUUGAGAUUGUUUAGCUGCGGGAAAUAAAGACCUGGGGCCGAUUUAAACAGUUGAAAAUUAUUUGAAGAAGUGUUUUGUCUCCAUAGUAAUGAACUUUUUUUUAGCUUCUCUGAGGCUAUUCAAAGAAGAAAUGAGGUUCAAUUACAGCAGAGUUACAUAAGUUAGAUAGCAACAGUAGUGCUACCAAUUCUUUGUAAGACAUAAACUUGAACUCACUUCAGUUUCAAUGAAAAGGGCAGUGAAUUUGCCAAAGAGCUGUGUACGUGUUGCCUCAAAAAGCAAAAAAAAAAAAAAAAAACCACAAAAACACUGGAAUAGUGCUUUGAAGACGUUUUCUAGUUAACUCCUGCAUUCUUUCUACAUCUGUGUGUCUUCAUUACCUGUACCAUUUGGUUGAGAGCUGUUUCAGAGUCUCUAAUAUGCCAUCUGGGUAUACUGUGUACUUUCUCUUUGCUGUACUUGGAGGUAAUAAUACUGCCAAAACCAUGCUGGGACAAAAAAAAAAAAAAAGGAAAAAGUCGUGUUUUUGGUAUGUUUCUUUGUGAGGAGGUUUUCAGGUCGUCUUUUUCUCUUACGAAGCCAAAAUUACAGUACCUUAGUAAAUUACAACUCUUUCACUUUUAUAA